UACAGAGGUCUCAAGCGUUGUUCGGAUUCAUUGGGCGUAAAGGGUGUGUAGGUGGCGCCGUAAGUCGGGGGUGAAAUCCUGGAGCUCAACUCCAGAACCGCCUUCGAUACUGAGGAUCUCGAGUCCGGGAGAGGUGAGUGGAACUGCGAGUGUAGAGGUGAAAUUCGUAGAUAUUCGCAAGAACACCAGUGGCGAAGGCGGCUCACUGGCCCGGUACUGACGCUGAGGUGCGAAAGCGUGGGGAGCAAACAGG
rnacentral:rRNA from 1 species